AGCGCUGGAGCUGACUGGACAACUGGUGCAGGAACACGUUACCGCCAAGCCUUCCCAANCAGNUGCUGAAUACCCUUCCGUAANAGGGAUGAUUAACUACACGUGAACAUAAUCGAAGUGGUAUCAGUUUAUUAUUAUAGCUCCGGCGGUUUUGGAUCUGGCGUGCUGCCUGAUAGGUAAUUGGGUGGGGUAAGGGACCACCAANNCUGGAUCAAUAAGUGGUGUGAGAACAUGACAGUCACACGGGCACUGGNACACNGGCCCGAGCUCCUACGGGAGGACUAUUAGUAAGGAAUAUUGGUCACAUGGGACCGAAAGUCUGAACCUAGUCCAUGUCCAGCGUGCAAUGCGAUGAAGGCCCUCUGGGUUGUAAAGUUACUUNUGAUCUGGGACGAACUAAAGGGNUUUCUACUCANUUGUACUGGUGACCAGAAGGAAUUAAGCACCGUGACUAACUCCGUAGCCAUCAGCCGGAGGUCAAUACGGAGUGGUGCAAGCGUUAUCCGGAUUUACUGGGUUUAAAGGGUGCGUAAGUGGGUNGGUAAGUCAGUGGUGAAAUCUUCGACGUCUUAACUCGGAAAACUGCCAUUGAUUAGCUAU
rnacentral:rRNA from 1 species